rnacentral:rRNA from 1 species
GACAGAGGGUGCAAACGUUGUUCGGAAUUACUGGGCGUAAAGCGCGUGUAGGCUGCUUGGAAAGUCGGAUGUGAAAGCCCUGGGCUCAACCUAGGAAGUGCACUCGAAACUUCCGAGCUGGAGUUCUGGAGAGGAAGGCGGAAUUCUCGGUGUAGAGGUGAAAUUCGUAGAUAUCGAGAGGAACACCGGUGGCGAAGGCGGCCUUCUGGACAGCAACUGACGCUGAGACGCGAAAGCGUGGGGAGCAAACAGG